AACGAACGCUGGCGGCAGGCCUAACACAUGCAAGUCGAACGCUCCGCAAGGGGAGUGGCGCACGGGUGAGUAACACGUGGGAACCUACCUUCUGGUACGGAACAACCAAGGGAAACUUUGGCUAAGACCGUAUACGACCUCCGGGUGAAAGAUUGAUCGCCGGAAGAGGGGCCCGCGUCCGAUUAGGUAGUUGGUGAGGUAACGGCUCACCAAGCCUUCGAUCGGUAGCUGGUCUGAGAGGAUGACCAGCCACACUGGGACUGAGACACGGCCCAGACUCCUACGGGAGGCAGCAGUGGGGAAUCUUGCGCAAUGGGCGAAAGCCUGACGCAGCGACGCCGCGUGA
rnacentral:rRNA from 1 species